rnacentral:rRNA from 1 species
GACGAACGCUGGCGGCGCGCUUAACACAUGCAAGUCGAGCGAGAACCGGGACUUCGGUCCCGGGGACAGCGGCGAACGGGUGAGUAACACGUGGGUAAUCUGCCCUCGAUUCUGGGAUAGCCCGGGGAAACCCGGAUUAAUACCGGAUAGCCUUUCGAGCCUUCGGGCGCGAAAGAAAAGGUAGCUUCGGCCUCCGAUCGAGGAUGAGCCCGCGGUGGAUUAGCUUGUUGGCGGGGUAAUGGCCCACCAAGGCGACGAUCCAUAGCUGGUCUGAGAGGACGAUCAGCCACACUGGGACUGAGACACGGCCCAGACUCCUACGGGAGGCAGCAGUGGGGAAUCUUGCGCAAUGGGCGAAAGCCUGACGCAGCGACGCCGC